CCUCUGACAAAGGGAACUAGAGAGAGAGAGAGAAGGGGGGGGGAGGUGUUGUGCAACAACAAGGUGGCGCCCAACGUGGGGCCACGCCCCUUGAGAAGAGGUGGGGCACCGUCCCUUGAGAAGAGGUGGGGCACCGCCCCUUGAGAAGAGGUGGGCCCAUGUCAAAUGAGUAGGAAGGACCUACAUUAACCAAGUCAGUAAAAACAGAGGCGAGUAUCUGAAUAGCUCACUUGGAGGCUAGCUCUUAGGAAAUAGAGUUAGUGGUGGCUGAUCCGGCUGUCAGUCACAACCCUUGCAGUAACUGUAUGGCAUGCAGGUGAGGGAGAGCUUCAGCUGAGGAUAAUCGCGAGUGUCCAGAAGUGAAGCCAGUAGCCAAUAGCCUAAACCCAUCCCUGCUUGAAGGCUAAAGAGAGGCUUUGGGGGAAAGGCGACUCGAAGACAAAGACAAUCAUGGAUGAAGGAAAAGAAGAAGAAGAAGGAUCAAAACUCCAGCAAACGUCAAAAGCAGAGCAGGAGAGAAGAUGAAGAAGAUCCCUGUCUAGAUCCCUGUUCCAGUCAGCCCCAGUGAGAGUGAUUCUGUGUGGAGAGGGAUUUGAGACAUGGACUCGAGUGAAUCAAAGGAAGGUUGUCUUUGCCAGAAUCGAGAAGUGGGACAGUUCUCCCAGGGGAAGGGAGACCCCAUGGAUAACAGAAAAGAGAGGUCAGGAGUACCUCUUGGUGCUGAUGGACAUGAUGUAACAGUGACAGCUGUAGAAGAGUAGGUCUUCCCCUGCAGAGAAACUCCGUUGCGUCACGGAAGGCAGGGAGGCGGAGGCACUUCUCCUUUUGGCCCAGGAAGGGAAAGGCGAAGUUGCAGCUUACAGUGUCAUUGAAAAGAGGGCAGAAAGUUUGGAUUAGAGCUCAAGAUCGGCCUGUAGUCACGGUGAUCAAGCUGAAAUUCAAUGGAAUGGAUUGUGUGAAGCAAGUACUGCACUGGAAAACAGUACUAUUAAUGAGGAAAGGGGUCCACAAGGUCAGUGCUCAAGCCAGUUCUUAGCUAAAGCGAACCAGAACAUUGCAAGAAUCAAGCAACAUGCCAUCAUGUGUUAGAUUUUCCACUAUUACAGGAUGAUUGCCAUU